GCGAAGCUUUCCGUCCGCUUUGUCGGCCAGCAAUGUCGUACCAUUCAUGCAGAUGAUUUCUAGGUUUCAGUUCACUAUGGGCGCGACGAUGACGAGCCAAGUAAGGUACCCAAGCGAUGGGCACGUCGAUUGCCUUUUCUGGAAGGCUGUCAACCACACCUGAAGGCAUGAUCGCUGCCCAGCAACAGUCGAGAACCAGUAGUUGCAGCAAAGUGCCUCAGUUGUGAUCAUUGCGACUAUCCGACCACUAGGCUGUCUGCUCUCAUCAUACACAAAUGCAACCACAGAGGCAGGAAGUUCCUUUGCUGCCACUAGUGCCGCCCUCGGAGCUUUUCGCACAAGAGCAACGUCAAGACACUGCUGUGCACUUGCAGUCGAGUGCAAAUUUCCCUACACUGGUUGAUAUCCUUUGUACAGUCUGACCGCCGCAGCAGUCGCCUGAGUAACUACACACUGCCAUUAUAUCAGUGUUAGAGGGGUCACUAACCUGAUUAGGCACCAUGAGAACUUGGCACCAUGCAGAGUAGGUAACCUGCACUCUAGGUGCUUCUCGUGGAAUAAACAAUUGGAAUUGGGACCGUGCAGUUGCGUUCUAUAUGAGCUGCAACACGGCUUCAAGAGGUUCAAGACUGCACGGCAGCACCAGCAUAUGAAGCAUCGAACUAAAGACUAUCUCAAUUAGUGGUAUUUGUUGUACCGGUGUUUCGGAUGUUUGUGCCAGCAUGCACUGCAGUUUUUCAGCCCCUUUGACAACAGGCAAUAAGUUCCAGCUCACGUUGAACGCAGCCGUACAUAUAAGUGCAAUAAGCUGCAUGAGCACAUUGACAUUCUUCUGCAUCAUAGAGGACAAGUUUGACUAUAUGCUGUCAUAAACUGCACUGUAAAGUCUUUUCAAAGGAUAUUCCAGCAGGAUAUAAUAAGGUAUUGCAUCAUGUUAGAAUGUAGCUGUGACUGGCUGCAGUGAAGGAUAAAGGGGCACUAGUUUUAAGGAGAUUAUGUCUGUUUAUGUGACCAUGUUCAUGCUUUAUUUUUUAUGUGAGGACUUAACAAACUUAGAAGUGCACAGUCUUCCUCCUUGGUCUAGUUGGUACAUAACUGGUGUGAAAUAUACCCUCAAUAACCACAGAAGAAAGGUUAGAAAGAAAACUGCUCAUUUGGUAUGUUCAUCCAGUAGUGCUAGCCCAGCAGGGGCCUAAGAAGACGGAAGAAAGCCACGUAGGUGCCUGUGUAUUGCCUCUUUCUAUCCUUUGCCACUUUGCACUUUGUUAUUCUUACGUUUAUCAAAUCGGAUCACAAAUCGUCCUCAACAGCUGCAGAGCUUGUCGCAAUACGGGAAGCUGUACGUUUUGUCUCCUACCUGACACCACGUACAUGGACUAUUCUUUCUGAUUCAAGAUCAGCGCUGCAAUCUAUCGAUUCUCUCUCUCGAGGAGAGGCCAAUAAUACAUGCUAGCAUCAUACAAAUGUUUGAUCUUGUUCAGAGGAACGGUCACUCAAUUACCUUCCAAUGGGUACGUGGUCACUGCGGCUUGGCCGGUCAACAAGCUAGCUGAUGCGGAAGCAAGAACCUAUAUUCCUACAGCCAUCGAAGUAAAGAUUUCUUUACUUGCGGAGCGUUGUAAACUCUUUGUUAACUGCGCUAAUACGAGAUUGCACAGCACAGUACUGUGCUCAACCAGACCAUCGGUACAGGCGCCUGCGGGAAAUAGACUGUGAGAGGACUUUUUGCCUCCCAGCUUAAGUCAAGUGAUGCCAAGCAAGCAUGCUUCACCGGAUUCGCUUGGGUGUCGCCUUCAGUCAAUGCUAUGAACAUCUGAUUUGGCCGUACGGACAGCCUGAACUGUGAACGCUGCCAAAUGUCGGAGACUCUCCAACAUAUGUUUAGGGACUGCUCUAUCUACGCAUCGCAGUGGAAGGUGCUGGCUUCGCCGCUAGCAGGCAUUGGAAGACAAACGUCCGAAAGUACUAUUUUGUCCGUCAUGUGUGACUGUAAAGUAGCUUCAAUAGCAACAAGGGCUGCCCUGGACUACUUGAAGACCACCGGAUUAGACACAAGGCUUUAAGGAAACCACUGUGUUAGUGUAUAUUGUAAGGCAGCCGUGCAGCUGUUGUCUCGAUGCCUUUAUUCGGCUGAGUCACGCGCUGAACGAAGACGACGCGCACAGUGAUGAUGAUUAUGCACAGGUGAAGAAGAUGAAGGAUGAAUAUUGUGGUCACACUAAUUACCCCCUUGCAUGGAAGUGGCCAACCUGGCCACUGGUUAUAGUGGUGCGGUAUGCCGUUGAAAUGGCUUUAGGCGCGAAACGUGGACGAUUUCUGUGCCACGGUAGCGGCCAUCGGAAGGCGUGACAGCGGGAGUGACGCAGUAGUUCAAUGGUGAAGUUUGCUCUACAACAGUGUAGGGCCCUAUAAAAUGUGACUGAUACUUUUCACACAGGCCAGGAACUCUAGUUGGUGUCCACAGUAACACUUCAUCGCCAGGGCUGAACAGAACAACGCGGUGAAAUGCAUCGUAGGGAGUCUUCCUAUCCUGUUGACUUGUUUCGGUGUUGAGGAGGGCGCGAUGGCAACACGCGGCUAGGCGAGAUAUUAACUGCUCACUUGCCGACGCCGACGAGUUCACGGGGACAUCAAAAAAAGAGACGUCGAGGAGAGAGGUCGGUUGACGCCCGUAAUGGUGAGUAGCCAGUUGUGCACUGUGCAGCGGUAUUGUAGGCAAACGUCACAGAUGCCAGGAUGGCAUCCCAGUUGGUGUGGUCAGCGUUGAUGUACGUGGAUAUCAUGUCAUGAGAGAGUUCGAUAAAAGCGCUUUGUGAGACCAUUAGUCUGAGGAUUGUAGCUGGUAGUCGUCUUAUGGAUG